GCCGGGGAAAAGUUGCGCGUGGUAGUGCAGAGGAACGUCGGCGGGUGAAUUCAGAUAGAGCCCUUGGAAAGAUGAUUCCCAAAAGUAUUAUUUUCGGAUAUAAAGACUACGCUGUAUCAACAAAAAACGGAUUGCAACUUGCAAAACAUGCGGGAAGAAAAUUACAGACGGAUGCGCAACAACUUCCAACUUUGUUCGAUAUUUGAAGCUGCACAAAGAACAGACAAUGACCCAACACACCUCCAGGCUGUGUAAGGGCUAUUUGACCAAGAAGGAGAGUAACGGAGUGCUGCACCAGAUGGCCUGGCCUCCAUAAUCACCCGAUCUCAACCCAUUUGAGAUGGUUUGGGAUGAACUGGACCGCAGAGUGAAGGAAAAGCAGCCAUCAAGUGAUCAGCAUAUGUGGGAUCGCCUUCAAGACUGUUGGAAAAGCAUUCCAGGUGAAGCUGGUUGAGAG
rnacentral:lncRNA from 1 species